rnacentral:rRNA from 1 species
UACGUAGGGGGGCUAGCGUUGUCCGGAAUCAUUGGGCGUAAAGAGCGUGUAGGCGGCCCGGUAAGUCCGCUGUGAAAGUCGGGGGCUCAACCCUCGAAUGCCGGUGGAUACUGUCGGGCUAGAGUGCGGGAAGAGGCGAGUGGAAUUCCUGGUGUAGCGGUGAAAUGCGCAGAUAUCAGGAGGAACACCAAUUGCGUAAGGCAGCUCGCUGGGACGUAACUGACGCUGAGACGCGAAAGCGUGGGGGAGCAAACAGG